rnacentral:rRNA from 1 species
GACAGAGGCCCCGAGCGUUAGGCGGAAUCACUGGGCUUAAAGCGUGUGUAGGCGGAUCGUUAAGUGUCUUGUGAAAUCCCACGGCUCACCCGUGGAACUGCUGGGCAUACUGGCGAUCUUGGGCCGUUCAGGGGCGACUGGAACAAGCGGUGGAGCGGUGAAAUGCGUAGAUAUCGGGAGGAACACCAGUGGCGAAGGCGGCGAUCUGGGUGGAUACUGACGCUGAGGUGCGAAAGCGUGGGGAGCAAACAGG